rnacentral:rRNA from 1 species
CCUACGGGAGGCAGCAGUGGGGAAUAUUGCACAAUGGGCGCAAGCCUGAUGCAGCCAUGCCGCGUGUGUGAAGAAGGCCUUCGGGUUGUAAAGCACUUUCAGCGGGGAGGAAGGCGUUAAGGUUAAUAACCUUGUCGAUUGACGUUACCCGCAGAAGAAGCACCGGCUAACUCCGUGCCAGCAGCCGCGGUAAUACGGAGGGUGCAAGCGUUAAUCGGAAUUACUGGGCGUAAAGCGCACGCAGGCGGUCUGUCAAGUCGGAUGUGAAAUCCCCGGGCUCAACCUGGGAACUGCAUUCGAAACUGGCAGGCUAGAGUCUUGUAGAGGGGGGUAGAAUUCCAGGUGUAGCGGCGAAAUGCGUAGAGAUCUGGAGGAAUACCGGUGGCGAAGGCGGCCCCCUGGACAAAGACUGACGCUCAGGUGCGAAAGCGUGGGGAGCAAACAGGAUUAGAUACCCCAGUAGUC